UACGGAGGGGGCAAGCGUUAUUCGGAAUUAUUGGGCGUAAAGGGCGCGUAGGCGGCUAGAUGUGUCAAAGGUGAAAUCCCUCGGCUCAACUGAGGAACUGCCUUUGAAACUGUCUGGCUUGAGGCCGGGAGAGGGUAGCGGAAUUCCCAGUGUAGCGGUGAAAUGCGUAGAUAUUGGGAGGAACACCAGUGGCGAAGGCGGCCAACUGGUCCGAUACUGACGCUGAGGCGCGAAAGCGUGGGGAGCAAACAGG
rnacentral:rRNA from 1 species